CCUGAUGGCUAAUGGCUAAGCAUUGGGCUGCUAACCCAAAGGUCUGUGGUUCCAACCCACCCAGCGGGG
rnacentral:tRNA from 1 species